rnacentral:rRNA from 1 species
UACGAAGGGGGCUAGCGUUGCUCGGAAUGACUGGGCGUAAAGGGCGCGUAGGCGGUUUGUACAGUCAGGUGUGAAAUUCCCGGGCUCAACCUGGGGGCUGCACUUGAUACGUAUGGACUGGAGUGGGGAAGAGGGUCGUGGAAUUCCCAGUGUAGAGGUGAAAUUCGUAGAUAUUGGGAAGAACACCGGUGGCGAAGGCGGC